UACGAAGGGGGCUAGCGUUGCUCGGAAUGACUGGGCGUAAAGGGCGCGUAGGCGGAUGGCACAGUCAGAUGUGAAAUUCCCGGGCUUAACCUGGGGGCUGCAUUUGAUACGUGUUGUCUAGAGUGAGGAAGAGGGUCGUGGAAUUCCCAGUGUAGAGGUGAAAUUCGUAGAUAUUGGGAGGAACACCAGUGGCGAAGGCGACUACCUGGCCUGUUCUUGACGCUGAGGCGCGAAAGCUAGGGGAGCAAACGGG
rnacentral:rRNA from 1 species